UGGGGAGUAGGCGAAUGGUAAAGCCACCGGUCUUUGGAACCGGAGUUUGAAGGUUCGAGUCCUUCCUCCCCAG
rnacentral:tRNA from 1 species